rnacentral:rRNA from 1 species
ACGCUGGCGGCAGCCUAACACAUGCAAGUCGAGCGGAUGACGGGAGCUUGCUCCUUGAUUCAGCGGCGGACGGGUGAGUAAUGCCUAGGAAUCUGCCUGGUAGUGGGGGACAACGUUCCGAAAGGAGCGCUAAUACCGCAUACGUCCUACGGGAGAAAGUGGGGGAUCUUCGGACCUCACGCUAUCAGAUGAGCCUAGGUCGGAUUAGCUAGUUGGUGAGGUAAAGGCUCACCAAGGCGACGAUCCGUAACUGGUCUGAGAGGAUGAUCAGUCACACUGGAACUGAGACACGGUCCAGACUCCUACGGGAGGCAGCAGUGGGGAAUAUUGGACAAUGGGCGAAAGCCUGAUCCAGCCAUGCCGCGUGUGUGAAGAAGGUCUUCGGAUUGUAAAGCACUUUAAGUUGGGAGGAAGGGCAGUAAGUUAAUACCUUGCUGUUUUGACGUACCGACAGAAUAAGCACCGG